CUUCGGAGUGAGAGCGUACACAGGUGCUGCAUGGCUGUCGUCAGCUCGUGUCGUGAGAUGUUGGGUUAAGUCCCGCAACGAGCGCAACCCUGCAUUCAGUUGCCAUCGGUAAGGCCGGGCACUCUGGAUGGACUGCCGGCGACAAGCCGGAGGAAGGUGGGGACGACGUCAAGUCAUCAUGGCCCUUAUGUCCAGGGCGACACACGUGCUACAAUGGCCGGCACAACGGGAAGCGAAGGGGCGACCCUGAGCGGAUCCCACAAAAGCCGGUCUCAGUUCGGAUUGCAGUCUGCAACUCGACUGCAUGAAGUUGGAAUCGCUAGUAAUCGUGGAUCAGCCAAGCCGCGGUGAAUACGUUCCCGGGCCUU
rnacentral:rRNA from 1 species